rnacentral:lncRNA from 1 species
AUGGUUCUGUGGUUUGCAGUGCUGUGCUGUCAGCCAAAGAGAGGACCACUGAGACUCCUGAUCACCGACGACAGGGCACACUACCCCAGCACUGUAACCGAACAGCUGUACAGCUAUACAGGGAUCCAAUGGAGAGAGGACUCCCUCACUCACACUGAGGCAAAUGUCAAACACAUGUUCAGCCAACAUGAGAAAGUGACUGUUACACAAAUGGAGUUAAGUGGACACCACCACCACUCAAAACAGUUCCCGGGAGCUUUGCUCAGAGCCGCUGCUGUCGCCAGAACGUUUAACUUUGGUAUGUCCAGUGUCAAUGCAGCGAACCAGACUGUAAACUCCUUGAAACCUACUGUCUUCCAGAAGGACUUUACCCAGACUCAGCUGUUUACAGUGUUAACAACAGACAUGCUGUGGGAGGUUAGCUCCUCCAAUGACGGCCUAACCACGAGUAAAACCCCACCAUACAUGAUACCCUUAAGCCUUGUGUUAACUGGAGUGGCUUAUGCCAUCACCAUGCCAGCUGACCUGCUACAAAUACACCUGGCCAACUCUCUGGAUAGUGCCUUCCUACGGCACGUCAACCCCAAACAGAGAGAAGUGAAUGUGCUCCUGAACCUACUCAUCAGCGAGUCAAGCCAAGUCUACAGACCUAAAGACAUUGUCAGUGUCAGGAUGUGGAAAAGCAACACCCACACCAAGACACACAUUCCAGAUGUGGUGGCCUACCACGACAGUGACACACAGCUGUACCUGGCCCCAAACAUGCACAUGUGUACUUUGACCAAAGACAUUCAUUAUCUCUGCCUUAGCAAACCCUUCCUCAGACACAACGCUGAAGGAAUCUGCGGUUUGCAACCCCGGGUCAGCAAUACACGCUUCCCUGCUGAAGCCAAGCCUCUUACACAAGUCACAGAAACGCAAGCAGAGGUUGUGGGCAACAGAUGGCCCGUCAACACUCCUGUGCGCUCAGCUACACUGACCUACGACCAGCAUGACACCGCCACCCGUCAGUACUUGACCAACCACCCAACACAUUGA